CCUUGCUAUACAUAAUCUGCGGAUGGGUCAAUCUCUGCCGUUCGUUUCAACCAACGGCUCAGAUGCAAAUCUCUAUUAAUAAAGAGAUAGAAAGAUAAAGAGAGGAGGAAGAGUGAGGCGAUUUCCAAUCUGAAACUGAAAGAGACGACUGAUUCGAGAGAGAGGGAAGAACAUGGCGAAUCAAGGCGGUUCUUGGAUUUUGAUUUGAGGAAGAGCAUGGGGACGGGAAGAGAACGAACAAUGCGAAUCUCGGUUCUUGGGUUCAUCUGAGAAGAACACAAAUCUGGAGACAGAUAGCGAGAGCGAAGAGAGCAAAGGAAGAAGGGAAAGAAGAAGACAUUCGGGAGAAGACAGAAAAGAGAAGAGACAAAAGAUUGGGUAGGAAUGAAGGAAAGGGACACCGAGGCAGAGCCAUUAAACCUUUGAUGCAGUUGAUUUUGGAUAACAAUCAUUUAGAUAGUGAAUUAGUAAUUGGCAAUUUUUUCGACAAAGGAAUCUGCUCUUGUAAUACCAUUAUUAUUCUUUUACAGCAUCUAUAGGCUAUAAUUUUCCUCAAUUAAGUUGAAGUGAAACUGUACGUAUGAUUAGUCAAAGCUCAGUUUUGUAUUAAUCUCUACUUUCUACCUUAACAAUCAAAACUUGGAUUGGUGCUUUUAAUGUAGAUUAUCUGCUCGCAGCCCGAAUGCGUUUUAAAGAUAACAAUUGAACUCUUCCAAAUGAACAACAUUAGUGUAAAUAGUUGGUAUUAAAGUGUAAAUAGUUGGUCUCUUUGAUUCUGCAGAUCUGUAUAUAUAUAUAUAUAGAGAGAGAGAAUGGAGUGUUGGUAUUAAAGUGUAAAUAGUUGAACUUAGUGUUUGAUUCUGCAGGUUUUGUGGUCUCUUUGACUCUGCAGUUUAUGGCUAGUCAAAAGUUGGAUUCUGCAGGUUUUGGAAGUGUUUGAUUCAUCAGUGCGAAUAUAACUGUUCCCACAUUUUUAUGUAAAGAUUGAGCCUUUAGCUUCAUUUUGAUAUUGGGUUUUGCUAUUACCAUGUUUGUCACACUUUCUGGAAUCAAGUUUAUGUUUUCGCUGCUAAGGCUUGGAAUUGUCAACAGCAUAUAUCAUAGCAUAGCAUCAACUUUGUGUAUUUUAAUUUGAAGGCUUUUAUUUCUGUCUAAUUGUUGGGUUUUGAAGUGGAUAGUUUUUCUUAUUUUAAUCUUAUAGCUUUUUGCUUAUUAAAUUAUAGGUGUGUUCAAUUUUGGUGGUGACUUGAUUUGUUGGUUUGUAUUGAAAUACUGUGUAUCUGCAUAUUGGAACAAAGUAGUGGAGAUACUCUGAUUUUGGUCCAAAAGGAGUAGUUGCCCUUAUUCGUCUUUCUGGAACAGCAGGGACGGUGGAUGUCUGUUACAAGAAGAUCAUGGCAUUGUCCAUGAAGUUUUUGUGGAAAUAAUAUGCUAGAAGCCUAGAAGGUGAUCUACUAGAAGAUUCUGCAGGUUUUGGAUGCCAUUUUGCAUCUUGUCAGAGUUGUUUUGGAUGCCAUUUUGCAUCAUGCCAUUCUGCAGGUUAUAUGGCAGAGUUGUUCAUAGUAUUGUUGGAAUAUUGUUGGAAUAGUGGCUAGUCAAAAGUUGCUGAUAUGUAAUGAUUCCAGAAAAUGAAUGUAAUUGUAAUGAUUCCAGAAAAUGAAUGUAAUUGUAAUGAUUCCAGACAAUGAAUGUAAUUGUAGUGAUUCCAGAAAAUGAAUGU